CCUACGGGGGGCUGCAGUGGGGAAUAUUGCACAAUGGGCGCAAGCCUGAUGCAGCCGUGCCGCGUGUGUGAAGAAGGCCUUCGGGUUGUAAAGCACUUUCAGCGGGGAGGAAGGCGGUGAGGUUAAUAACCUCAUCGAUUGACGUUACCCGCAGAAGAAGCACCGGCUAACUCCGUGCCAGCAGCCGCGGUAAUACGGAGGGUGCAAGCGUUAAUCGGAAUUACUGGGCGUAAAGCGCACGCAGGCGGUCUGUCAAGUCGGAUGUGAAAUCCCCGGGCUCAACCUGGGAACUGCAUUCGAAACUGGCAGGCUAGAGUCUUGUAGAGGGGGGUAGAAUUCCAGGUGUAGCGGUGAAAUGCGUAGAGAUCUGGAGGAAUACCGGUGGCGAAGGCGGCCCCCUGGACAAAGACUGACGCUCAGGUGCGAAAGCGUGGGGAGCAAACAGGAUUAGAUACCCGAGUAGUC
rnacentral:rRNA from 1 species